CCGGCAUUAGCUCAUCGGGAUAGAGCGCCAGCCUUCGAAGCUGGUUGCGCGGGGUUCGAGUCCUCGAUAGCGGUCCA
rnacentral:tRNA from 1 species